rnacentral:lncRNA from 1 species
AUGGCUUGUGUCCACGUUCAACCAAAACGGAGAAGUGCGUGAAUGAGUGGAUAUUAAGACCGACCAAGACGCUCGUAGGAUGAUGCAGUACAUGUUCAAAAUUGUUUUGAUGGUUGUAAUCACAUAGUUUUUGUAUUCUAGUUGUUUUAAUUGUUUGUGUUAUUUUUUAUGAACAACUGUGUUUUCGUCACAGACGUCUACUAUGAAGUAAAAUUAAU